UCCCUAGUGGCUCAGAUGGUAAAGCGUCUGCCUGCAAUGCGGGAGACCCAGGUUUAAUUCCUGGGUCGGGAA
rnacentral:tRNA from 1 species